UACGUAGGGUGCAAGCGUUGUCCGGAAUUAUUGGGCGUAAAGAGCUCGUAGGCGGUUUGUUGCGUCGGCUGUGAAAUCCCGAGGCUCAACCUAGGGUCUGCAGUCGAUACGAGCAAACUAGAGUGUUGCAGGGGAGACUGGAAUUCCUGGUGUAGAGGUGAAAUGCGCAGAUAUCAGGAGGAACACCGGUGGCGAAGGCGGGUCUCUGGGCAACAACUGACGCUGAGGAGCGAAAGCGUGGGGAGCGAACAGG
rnacentral:rRNA from 1 species